GCUGAGGAUAAGGGUAAGAACUCCUCUAUUUCUCUCUCUAAGUUUUCUUUCCUUCUAUGAAUAGGAAUUGAUGAAUUUGAGGUUUUCUCCCUUCCCUCUUAUGGUUGAUGGUUGGGAGACCUGUGGGGCAGCUGUAGAGCUGUGAAUAGAAGUGUUUGACAGUGUUUCUUCAGACCUCACGCAGGGGAGAAUGGAGUUGGUGUUUUAGAAAGGGUUAUUGAUGGAGUUGUGAUGCAGUUUUGGGGUGUUUAUUCACAGCAGGUGUAGAGAUUCUGUUGAGCAGAAUUCUAAGAUGAUUUUUCAACCCCAACGCAAGGGAAAAGCUAAAGCUAAACCUGGAGAAGAUGGUUAACUGAGUAUUAACUUUGUGGUGAUGCUUUGAUAGAGUCAUUGGUGGAAUGGUAAUACUGUUUUUAUUCUGUUUUAACAGUUGGGAGCACUACUUUGAACUGAUUAUUGCAACAAUUGAAAGCUAAUUGGGAGUGACUCAACCUAAGUGGGAAACGAGCAGGGUUGUAGUAAACUAGAUGACUGCUCUCGGUAGUAAACUAGAUGACUGCUCUCGGCUAAGGGUUGAAGGCUUUUGAAGCUGAAACAUAGUGCAUUAACCUGAACUGAACCAAGGAUUCAAUUAUAGCAUUGUGCAAGGGUAUUUGGAGUGCUGUGGAUACUCAUACUUGCUAGUUUGACGAGGAUCAUCAAUUAGUAGGUGGGUCAGACCUUCCCGAAAUGGGUGAAUUUCCCUCUAUGUCUUUUUGACAUUAUUAAAAGUGGAAUAAUUGUAUAUCAUGUGAAUGUAGGUAUACUUGAACGGAUUGGGCAUGUAUAAAUCUGCAUAGCAUAUCGGAUAAAUGAAAAUAUAUAA